rnacentral:rRNA from 11 species
CAUGUAAGCUCCACCUUAAAGAAGGCGCCAGUUCCUGCCUAAUCUUGGAACCAACGCAGGGUUGGUCCUGGUUAGUACUCCGAUUGGACACCACCAAUGAAUACAGGGUGCUAUAGGU